rnacentral:rRNA from 1 species
GACGGAAGGUGCAAGCGUUGCUCGGAAUUACUGGGCGUAAAGCGUGCGUAGGUGGUGAGUUAAGUCUGUCGUGAAAGCCCCGGGCUCAACCUGGGAAUGGCGAUGGAUACUGGCUCGCUAGAGUGCGGUAGAGGAGAGUGGAAUUCCCGGUGUAGAGGUGAAAUUCGUAGAUAAUCGAGAGGAACACCGGUGGCGAAGGCGGCGAUCUGGACGAUGACUGACGCUGAGACGCGAAAGCGUGGGGAGCAAACAGG